UUUUCAUUGAUUUUUGCGAGAUUUUGACGAAGAUUCUUUUUAUAAAAACUAUUAUACUUGUACGGUUUAAAAUUGCUUUUUUUACUGCCGAAGUUUCGAAAAGUUUACAAUUUUCUUGGACGCAGAUGACUUUUACAUAUGCAUGGCUUCUGAUACAACAAAUUAGAUUUGCUGUCAACGCGACGCAGAGAGCUUACGAUUACGGAAUCAUUUGUGAAAGAAAAUAAUUUUGUUAAUUUUUUUGUUUUUUGUUGCAAUUUAUAAAAAAAUAUCUGUGCGUUUUGAUUGCUGGUUUCAAGUAAGAAGUUACGCUUUUAAAUAAAGAACAUAUGCUUUA